GGGGAUAACCACUGAAACGGUGGCUAAUACCGCAUAAUGUCGCAAGACCAAAGUGGGGGACCUUCGGGCCUCACACUACCGGAUGAACCCAGAUGGGAUUAGCUAGUUGGUGGGGUAACGGCUCACCAAGGCGACGAUCCCUAGCUGGUCUGAGAGGAUGACCAGCCACACUGGAACUGAGACACGGUCCAGACUCCUACGGGAGGCAGCAGUGGGGAAUAUUGCACAAUGGGCGCAAGCCUGAUGCAGCCAUGCCGCGUGUAUGAAGAAGGCCUUCGGGUUGUAAAGUACUUUCAGCGGGGAGGAAGGGAGUGAGGUUAAUAACUUCAUUCAUGGACGUUACCCGCAGAAGAAGCACCGGCUAACUCCGUGCCAGCAGCCGCGGUAAUACGGAGGGUGCAAGCGUUAAUCGGAAUUACUGGGCGUAAAGCGCACGCAGGCGGUCUGUUAAGUCAGAUGUGAAAUCCCCGGGCUCAACCCGGGAACUGCAUUUGAAACUGGCAGGCUUGAGUCUCGUAGAGGGGGGUGGAAUUCCAGGUGUAGCGGUGAAAUGCGUAGAGAUCUGGAGGAAUACCGGUGGCGAAGGCAGGCCACCCUGGACGAAGACUGACGCUCAGGUGCGAAAGCGUGGGGAGCAAACAGGAUUAGAUA
rnacentral:rRNA from 1 species